UAGGGAAUCUUCCGCAAUGGACGCAAGUCUGACGGAGCAACGCCGCGUGAGUGAAGAAGGAUUUCGGUUCGUAAAACUCUGUUGUUAGAGAAGAACAGCGCAUAGAGUAACUGUUAUGCGUGUGACGGUAUCUAACCAGAAAGCCACGGCUAACUACGUGCCAGCAGCCGCGGUAAUACGUAGGUGGCAAGCGUUGUCCGGAUUUAUUGGGCGUAAAGCGCGCGCAGGCGGUCAAUUAAGUCUGAUGUGAAAGCCCCCGGCUCAACCGGGGAGGGUCAUUGGAAACUGGUUGACUUGAGUGCAGAAGAGGAGAGUGGAAUUCCAUGUGUAGCGGUGAAAUGCGUAGAUAUAUGGAGGAACACCAGUGGCGAAGGCGACUCUCUGGUCUGUAACUGACGCUGAGGUUCGAAAGCGUGGGUAGCAAACAGG
rnacentral:rRNA from 1 species